rnacentral:lncRNA from 1 species
GGGAUUUUAAUUUCUUAAUGUUUUUGAUAUAGACAUUUCUUUUUUCACUUAGCAGUUAUUAAUAUUCUUUGGAGCACACUUUGGAAAUGGCAUCUUAUGUCACUUGCUCAUUUCUGGUGCAUCUUAUAAUUUCUCUUUUUUUUUGGUGAGUGAACUUCUUCAAUGAAUCUUCAAGGUUCUUGAUUAUAAUAUAUAUCUCUUUAUAUCCACCAUAANCUGCAUUGAGCACUUAGUAGGUACUUCACAAAAGAAACAUUGCUCAACCAGUUCAUUGGGUUGUGUGUUCUACUUCACAGAAAGAGCACUUUAGCCCAGCCUCCUGUGAAAUGACCCCACCUUCAGGCAGGCAGUGUCAUAGAGGGAACAUUGGAUCAUAAAUCUCUGUACCUUACUUCCCUGGUUUAUAACUUUAACAUCUCAAAUAUAAGAACCCCUACAUUAUUUACUACCUUUAAAGAGCGUUAAAAUUGGUGAAGUUUUAUGACAUACAUAUGCAAAAUAGAGGGAGGGACUAGAAAACCCAUGGAAAUAAGUGAAGGCUAACCAAAAAAAGCAAAGGCUAUUUAUUCAGAGCUUGCUAGAGUGAGGAAGGUAGCACCAUCAUUUUGUGUUUUGGAGGAGAGUCAAAGUCAGGGAAAGAAAUAGGAAAGCUUUAUAGAGGAAAAUGGAAAAUCCAAUGUGUCCUGAUUAGAAGCUAUUAACAUAGGGAAACUGUCAGUAAGAUAAUUAGAAUGGGGGCAUCCUAUGUGCUUGGCCUGGCUGCAUAAUUUAGCUUUUUAUGUUUGGUCCUAAGUUGGAAGCAGGGACAAAAUUUAGGAAAACUGCCAGUCGUUAAUCAAAUCCUGGACCUUUUUGGUUGAUUGUUGUAGGGGUUACUGUCUGGCUUCCUGGAUUGUUGCUAGAGACAGCAGUCUGACUUCCUCCAGGUCUGGCUUCUAGCAGGUUGGCUUCCUGGAAUGAUUACUAUAGACAAGCAUUUGGUUUUCUGAACUGGGUCCUGCAAGUUUUAGGUCAGGGUUCUAUUUUUGUGUAUGGUCUGGCCAUUGCCUAUUUGUAUAUUCAAUCUUUCAUUCUUAUUAACUAUUUGAGUAAAAUUUUCAAUUCAACUUAAACCAAAAGUUCUUUAAUAAAGGAAAUGUGUGUGCAGGAUCAUGGUUUGUGUUUUUGGUAAAGAUAGCAUUAGAUGAAACUAUAUAUGUUUUCAGAAUUUUUUUCUUACUAUUCAUCAACAUUACAAAAGCAUUAGUUGAUUGUAAUAGUUAGCCUUUUCUGAUUCAGAGAAAGGCCGCCCCUUAAACCUUGUAAUAGUUGUGAGUUCCCAAAAA